UGGAGAGUUUGAUCCUGGCUCAGGACGAACGCUGGCGGCGUGCCUAAUACAUGCAAGUCGAGCGGGGGCCUUCGGGCCCCAGCGGCGGACGGGUGAGUAACACGUAGGCAACCUGCCCGCAAGACCGGGAUAACAUAGGGAAACUUAUGCUAAUACCGGAUAGGGUGUCUUCUCGCAUGAGGGGAUACGGAAAGGUGGCGCAAGCUACCACUUGCGGAUGGGCCUGCGGCGCAUUAGCUAGUUGGUGGGGUAACGGCCUACCAAGGCGACGAUGCGUAGCCGACCUGAGAGGGUGACCGGCCACACUGG
rnacentral:rRNA from 1 species